rnacentral:lncRNA from 1 species
GCAAUGAGAAAAAAACAAUAUCUUGGUAUAAAUAAUUAAAUAUUGUUAGAUAAUUAUAUAACUUUGCCGAUAAAACAAAUAACUAAACUGAAGAACAUUUCAGAACAGCUGAUCUGAUCACUCGACGGUUUAAACCAACAAAUUGUUUAUGAGAACCCAUGCGGGCAUGUGUUCAAUAUUACAUCUUCUAUUCGCUGGAUAGAUCUUGGGUACUUAUACAGAACCAAGAAACACAAAUAAUACCUUUUAGUUAGCCUUUUUGGGUGAGAUGCUGGAUUGUGACAAAUGGUAUCAGAGCAAACCUGCCUCGUGAGCUAUGUGGACUAGAGGACACUGUAGGACGAGUUUAUGAAAGCUGACUACAGGCCGAUUGUGGUGUUUGCGAUUAGAUUUGAAUGGAUUUAAAUUCUUAGCUUGGCAAGAACGCCAGAGCUUAAAUGAAGGAAGUAUAUGAAGAUCCAUGUGGAUAUGUGUUUAGUCCCACAUCGGUUAUUUGCUGGAUAAAUCUUGAAUAAUUAUACAUGACCAAAAAAUUCAAAUAAUACCUUCUAGCCUACCUUUUUGGAUGUGGUCCUAGGCUGUGACACUCUCCACGUUUAAAUGAACAGUGAUGGUGACACAUUGACACACAUCCAAAACCAAGAAGAGCAUGAAAAGGAAAUGCCACAACUAGAAAGAAAGUAAUUCACAAGUUCUGUUUAAGACUCAUGGAAUUCACAUGUUCCAUGG